UUAGGUGCUUAAUUAAUUUCUGUACUAUUAUAUGGGACUCUAUAUGAAAGCCCUGUGGUAGGUGCAAAAUGAAGGGAGCAUCUUGUCCUUUUGUUCAGCAAUGGUAGGGAAGCAAGGAUUUUCUGGGUGCCAAGCUGUAUUGUGCCACUUGAGCUUUACCCACUGUGUGCUGAGCUGUACUGUGUCACUGUGUCACUAGAAAGCAGAAGUUUUGGUUGUGUCAACUUGUCAGAGAUGCUGCAGAAUCUGUUUCUCACUACGUUGUUGAGGUAAUUGGCACUACGGUCUUCACCAGUCUCCAGGUUCUCUUAGGACUGUGUAUAUUUGACACUGACAGCAAGUGUUCGGAUGCCUGGAGGGCAGAGUCCCUGUGUAUUCGUCUUAGGGCUUUGUUCUUCAAACUGUGGGUCAUAACCCAUUUGUGAAACAGAUUACUGAGCCAUAAUUGAUGGGAUUUUUUUAAAGUAAAGUAGAAAAUUAUAGAAGCAUGAAUAUUCAGGUAAAUCACUUGAGGGUGGUGUGGUUAUUUUGUGAACUUUUUGUUUCAGUGACAGAUACAUGUCUGGGCUUCAUAAAGUAAAUGCAUGUCUUCUCUUCUCAAAAAGGGUUUGAGGGCUAAAGAGAUGGUUCAGCAGAGCAUUUGUUGCUCUUGCAGAGGACCCAAGUCUUGAUUCCCACCACUUGAACCAUCUGUAACCCUAGAUCCAGGAGAUUCAACAGGCAUGUAUGUGAUACUAACUCAAGAAAUCAAAAUGACAGAUGACUGGCGUAUUUCCCUCCUCUCUGCGAACACGCCACUCAUGCAGUGAGCAGUCGGGGCCAGCGAGCACCCGGGUGCAUCUCAUGGGAAGACUUUGAACUCACAAGUGAGCAUGCAUCCACCUUUGUCCCAGAGAAAAGUAGCCUUUCCUCAGUAGUUGUGUCCAGCUGUUCAAAGACCCAUUUGAAAUAAAUAAUAAUGUCUGGGGAAAUUUUCUGAAGGAAAUGACUACACUAACUACUUAUUUUCUUCCCUAUCACACAGCUAUGAGAGAUUGCUUGGAGUAGUUUUAUAAUUGCUAUUCCAAUCUUAUGUGACACUAACCUGGGUGUACAGUGAUGCUUGUUGAAGCACAGUGUCUGAAAGGAAGAGGAAUUCACCAGGACUGGAAAGGACACAGAGGCCAGUCUUCAGUACAGCUGAUGCCUGAUUCUUCUCAAAGCUUCAGCCUUCAAUUCACCCUUUAACGAGGUUGAGAGGAGAGACUCUGGAGUCUGUUGAGGAUUGUGGAGGACUGUGGUGGGCCAAGUGCAUCCUGAGGGAGCUGGAGCCAGGCUAAACCCACCUGACCCAGGUUGCAAGCAUGUCUAUAUUUAGAUCAAUAGUCACGCUUCUGUGGUGAUGGACCAGUGUGUGCCUCCAGAAAUGGCUGUGAGCUGAAACCGCAUGUGUGUCCUUAGCAGAGAAGUCAUCGGCUCUGUAGGUCUGGCAUAGCCUCGCCAGAGGGACUGCUGCGCAGACUCGCUUAGUAAGCAGAUAAACAAGAUUUGUGCUUGGCGCGUAGUUGGCCACUUAGGCCAGCAUCCACCUGCUCACGGAAGCCAGGGCCUCCGUCCCACUGUAUCACAAACAAUAGACCUAGAGAUUCAGAGCCUUUUAUUUUGAGGAAAAAUCACAGUUUCUCCCGUUGACACAAAGCAGAUACUGGAUUUCUUUCACCGUAUCCUCUCGUUCCCUCCCGCAUGUCAUGUGUCACUGAGCUCUGCUGAGUUGCCUCCUUUUCUGCUCUUGAUCCAGCUCUUCUCUCCUGUCAGCAUUGCCAUUAAUAUUUUACAUUCUUUUGCUAAUUUGGAUUAGACAACAGCCUCCUAAAUGCUUUGUGCUUUUUUCUAAUCAGUUGCCUUUACUGCUACCAAAAUCAUCAUAAUAAGGAAUAAAACAAUGUCACUUGGAACUAUUUGGAUGGUUGUCCAUACAUAUAAGCCACAAUUCAAUGUCCAGAGUCUUAGAA